GAGUUUGAUUCUGGCUCAGGACAAACGCUGGCGGCGUGCUUAACACAUGCAAGUCGAACGAUGAAACGGAACGGAAAUUUUCGGAUGGAAGUUCUGUGGAUUAGUGGCGGACGGGUGAGUAAUGCAUGAAGAACCUGCCUUUCACAUAGGAAUAGCCUCGGGAAACCGGGAUUAAUACCAAAUGACACUCCGAGAUCGCAUGUUUUUGGGGUUAAAGAUUUUAUCGGUGAAAGAUGGCUUCAUGUCCCAUUAGCUGGUUGGUGAGGUAACGGCUCACCAAGGCGACGAUGGGUAGCCGGCCUGAGAGGGUGAACGGCCACAUUGGAACUGAGACACGGUCCAAACUCCUACGGGAGGCAGCAGUGGGGAAUAUUGCACAAUGGAGGAAACUCUGAUGCAGCGACGCCGCGUGAGCGAUGAAGGUCUUCGGAUCGUAAAGCUCUGUCCUAAGGGACGAUAA
rnacentral:rRNA from 1 species